AAGAGCUGCUAAGUGAUCGUAUGCCAGUGGACUGCAUGUAAAUAGUGGCAAUGCUAUCUGUGGGUUUUGUGCUACAACUACCAAAGUAGCAGUUCUGUUGCUUGAAUAAGCUGCCUUAGACAUGACCGUCCGCAGUCUGCUGCUGGAGGUGGGUAUGGAGGAAGAGGUGCAGUACAGCCUGGCAUACCUGGUACAGGUGCCUGACAAUUCUUAUUUGGUCUGCUAUCACCCAUGUUUUCAAGAAUCACACCUUGUGUGGCCAGUUAUUGCUUUUUAAUAUUAGAUAAUGGAAAUUGCGCUCCAGGGUAAUGUGGGAAGACAGCACACCACGCUGCUCCUGUAAUCUGUGACCACCGCCUGUGACAUCUGCUCGGGGCUCUCCUGUUUCCUGACUGUGUCAGUACUCACAAGAAAACUGGCAUUGCUGGAGUCUCAGUGCUCAUCAAAUGACUCCUCAGCCUUUGCACUCCUUUGGACAUCAUCCUCCAAUGCCCUACUCAAUUCACACACUUUUCAUCACAAAAUCCAUCACUCCCAGGAGCCUUGGCACCGGUUUGCUUCGUUUCCACGUGGUUUGCCUGCUAACACACUGCUCCAGAGCAUCUCUGGCCCAACCUCCGUCAUCACGUCUCAGAGACACACAAGCUGAUGUGACUUAUGUUCUUCACAGGGGAGAUUUUUCUUUUGAAACCCAAAGAAAGAGAGUAAAAAGUGUGGUGAAGACACGGAUUUUA